rnacentral:rRNA from 1 species
UUUUAGGGCAAGUCUGGUGCCAGCAGCCGCGGUAAUUCCAGCUCCAAUAGCGUAUAUUAAAGUUGUUGCAGUUAAAAAGCUCGUAGUUGAAUUUCGAGAUCAGUACGCUGGUCGUGCCUUCGGUAUGCACUGGUGUCACUGGUUUCUCCCUUCUGAAGAACCGUCAUGUCAUUAAGUUGGUGUGGCGGGGAAUCAGGACUGUUACUUUGAAAAAAUUAGAGUGUUUAAAGCAGGCUCGCGCUUGAAUACAUUAGCAUGGAAUAAUGAAAUAGGACGUUUGACCCUAUUUUGUUGGUUUCUAGGAUCGACGUAAUGAUUAAUAGGGAUAGUUGGGGGCAUUAGUAUUCAAUUGUCAGAGGUGAAAUUCUUGGAUUUAUUGAAGACUAACUACUGCGAAAGCAUUUGCCAAGGAUGUUUUCAUUAAUCAAGAACGAAAGUUAGGGGAUCGAAGACGAUCAGAUACCGUCGUAGUCUUAACCAUAAACUAUGCCGACUAGGGAUCGGAUGAUGUUAAUUUUUUAAUGACUCAUUCGGCGCCUUACGGGAAAC